CGAGUUUAUGAUUCAGACCAUUCCAUAACAAAAUGCAUAUAUGGCCUCACGGUAGGAGUUUAGCUUCACACUGUCAUCAAGUUUGUGUCAAAUUUAUUGUUCCAUUUUUGGAACAGUGUACUUUCAUGAGUAUUUUCUAACGAGUACAUAUAAUACUUUCGCAGAUCAUUUUACAAAAUAGAAGUAUAGAGGAAUUAAUAUAUAGAAGUUAUGACCAUCGUGUAGAGUGAUCUCUGAAGAUGGAUUGCAGAUAAGUAUAUUAACAAUUUAGUAUUGACCCUAUUUCUGUUGAUACUUUACUUUACUAAAUCUUUCGUAUUAACCAUAAGCAUAAAGGAUAUCAUGUUGGGUUGCAUUGCCAUGUAAGGAAUGGGUAUCCUAAACCUGAGAAAGUACCAACGCAGAUGAUAGUUUCUUAGGAAUAUCAUCGUGUUGUUACAGCAAAGAUGGCUAGCUGUAGCACCUUCUAUAAUUCAGUUUACUAUUAGGGAUAUCAUUCAAUCUCUGAACUAUGUAUUACCGUUAUAAAUUUGGCUAGGGAAUCUCUCAUUUUAAUAUUGCAAUGAAGUGGUUGGGAUGGAGAGGGUUUUUUACUUGACUACUUUCUGACUAUAUACCUUUCUGUUUUGUGCAAGUACAAAGUAUUAGUAAUUUCAGUCUGUCCAAUUUUUGCAAGGAUAAUUGUGUGAGUCUGGUCCAAACUUUAAGACAAUCACUUAAUACAUUCAUGGGAUCACCAACUUUUGGCGUUUUUUGAGACUAGCUAGGUGGGAUCAUGAAUUCCAAGAAGACUGUGGUAAUUAUCCUACUUUGUUUGCAAGAUUGGUUUCUAAAAAUAUCAUGGUAGUUGUAAUUUCAGGUUGCUGCUGAUUUGACUGAAUAUGUUUUGAUGGUUUUUUAAUCUUUCAUCUUUACUGUGUGUAAAAGUAACUAAUUCAUUCCUAAUUGAAUCUUUCAAUGGUUGAUGGGAACACUACAGAUCUUGCUUCUCUGCUUUUUAAUGUUUCAUAUGUUUUCAUGUACAAACCGAGGCGUGCGGGCACCAUGUGUUUCUAUUGCAGAGGUUGAUCACCGUGUGUAUGGCUUGCUGGUUGCGCCAGUAGAGUUUCUCAGAAUGUUGUUUGUCCAGUCUUUGUUAAUAAUGUGAUCAUCACAGAACUAAAAGACAAUGUUUGGUACUGAAUUGCAGUUCGCUUUGUUAAUUUCUGCGACACCAUUUCAUAUUUACAUUUGAAUUGUACUUACUUAGUUUGUAAGGCCUUAUAGUUUCAAUGCUUUAUUUGCUUGUGGAACUACGGCUCUGUUACAUUUUGAUGAUUGUAUAUUUUUGUAUAUGAAAUUUGUAGAACAAAAGUAAAAAAAUGGAGGGCCUAGCUUACUUUGGUAUUAAGGUAAUUAACUCUAGGUUCCAUUGCAAAAGCUCAAGCAUGUUCUUACAUGAUUACUCCAACUUAGGAGUACUACCAAACACUGGUUCAUUUUUCUGAUAGAUUCAGUUAUGGCAAUACUGAAUCAUUUUUUGUGUGAUUAGGGACAAGGAGCUGUAGCGUCAUGGAUUGGAGCGAAGGGGAGGUCCUGACGACUGAAGAUGGUGUGUAGGGGAGGAGCUCGAAGCGGCACUCCCAUGGAGGGAUGGCUGAUGUCAAGGCAAGUUUCUCUCAUCCUUCUCCCCCCUUCUCUCUCGAUGUCUAUCAGAAUAGAUUCACCUUUGUUCUGAUUUUUCUUUAUAUAUCCCAGGUGCUAAAAUCUUAUGUGUCAAGGGCAUUGUGAUGGCGCGAUCCAUGUCUCCUGCUAGCGCUCGACGUCCCGUAGCCCCAAAGAGGAGGGCUCCAAGGUACUUUUGAUUGAAUGACUUAAUUUUUUCUCCUAUGUUGUGCUAGAGGACUAACUGAAACUAUGGCUCUGCUAUGUAUCAGGUUGGACAACAAGCUUCACUGGAUGAAAGCAUUUCCCUUCUAAAACAGAGUGCUGCUGAUAUGAAUGCACAAGUUAGUCUUGAUACUAAGAUGGUCAUGGAAUUGCUUGAUCUAUACUAGGUCAACAUGUCAGCCAACCACUUAAAAAUAAUCAUUUGCAUUUCUUCCUCUAAACUGUGAAACCUGACGAGUGAUGACGCAUCAGCAAUUUAGCAAUAGAAGAUGUCAGUGAACACGAGUGCCAGUCAAGAGCAAUGAAACGCUAGAUACUUUAGAGUGUAAUUUUAUAUAAGAAUAAAUAAAUGACACUUAAGUCAUUAAGCAAUUGUUGUUGAGGUAUUGUCUCACCCUUUAUCUGCUCUCUUUUAAACUGUGGAAUGCUAUGGGCUGGAGCUACAGGGGAGGAGGGAGGUAAGCGUGAAUGCAAUGAAUAUUGUUCGGAUAAAAAAUUGGGUGCAAACUGAGUACUGACGGUGAGACUUAUUCAUUUGUUUAUCCUUUUGCCCUUUUAAUCAAGAACAAUGUUCAGAGCUUACAUGGUUGCUGAAAUUUAAAUCUAUGAAAUAGAAAUAUUAAUACCAUACAAUGAUCAGUGCAGAGUAGGAUAGUUAUUGAGUUCUUCCUGAGUUUUCAUUGAGAAAAGAUUGGAACUGUGUGAUUUGUUCUGAACUUCUAAUACAAAGUAAAGAUGGUGUGCAUGGGAGGAGCUUGAAGUGGCAUUCCCAUGGAGGGAUGGCUGAUGGCAAGGCAAGUUUCUCUCAAUCCUUCUCCCCCCUUCACUCUUGAUGUCUAUCAGAAUAGAUUCACCUUUGUUCUGAUUUUUCUUUAUAUGUCCCAGGUGCUAAAAUCUUAUGUGUCAAGGGCAUUGUGAUGGCGCGAUCCAUGUCUCCUGCGAGCGCUCAGCAUCCCGGAGCCCCAAAGAGUAGGGCUUCAAGGUCCUUUUGAUUGAAUGACUUGAUUUAUUUCUCCUGUGUUGUGCUAGAGCUAACUGAAACUAUGGCUUUGCUAUGUAUCAGGCUGGACAACAAGCUUCACUGGAUGAAAGUGUUUCCCUUCUAAAACGGAGUGCUGCUGACAUGAAUGCACAAGUUAGUCUUGAUACUAAGAUUGUCAUGGAAUUGCUUGAUCUAUGCUAGGUCAAUAUGUCAGCCAACCACUUAAAAAUAAUCAAUUGCAUUUCUUCCUCUGAACUGUGAAACCUGACGAGUGAUGACGCAUCAGCAAUUUAGCAAUAGAAGAUGUCAGUGAACACGAGUACUCAGUCAAGAGCAAUGAAGCCUAGAUACUUUAGAGUGUAAUUUUAUAUAAGAAUAACUAAAUGACACUUAAGUCAUUGAGCAAUUGUUGUUGAGGUAUUGUCUCACCCUUUAUCUGCUCUGUUUUAAACUGUGUAAUGCUAUGGGCUGGAGCUACAGGGGAAGAGGGAGGUAAGCGUGGAUGCAAUGAAUAUUGUUCGGAUAAAAUAUUGUCUUCAGCCAUCUGUCUCGCUCUGGUUUUCCUGUAGUGUGGAGUUUCAACUCUCGAUCUGGUCCGCGUGUUAUUGAUUCAGCUGCCUCACCAUUGCAGGAAAUUAUUGUGUGCUUUAGAUUGGGAUGCUGAACCAGAUGAAAAAUGUCACUGCAGCUUUGAGUGCAGUCAUAGGUUUGAAUUGUAAACUGUAGCUGCUUAAAACUUUGGUAUAAAAUAAAGCCCUUACUGGUAGAUGAGGCACGUUAUUAGCAACGUUUCACAUUUUCUUACUUGCAAUACUAUGAUUGCCUGUUCAGGUCUUCCAAGACCUAAAUCAUCAUAAAUCC
rnacentral:lncRNA from 1 species